UACGGGGGGAGCAAGCGUUGUUCGGAUUUACUGGGCGUAAAGGGCGCGUAGGCGGUCAGCACAAGUCAGUUGUGAAAUCUCCGGGCUUAACUCGGAAAGGUCAACUGAUACUGUGCGACUAGAGUGCGGAAGGGGCAACUGGAAUUCUCGGUGUAGCGGUGAAAUGCGUAGAUAUCGGGAGGAAGGCCGGUGGCGAAGGCGGCGCUCUGGAACAUUUCUGACGCUGAGGCUCGAAAGCGUGGGGAGCAAACAGG
rnacentral:rRNA from 1 species